rnacentral:rRNA from 1 species
AUUGAACGCUGGCGGAAUGCUUUACACAUGCAAGUCGAACGGCAGCACGGGGGCAGCCCUGGUGGCGAGUGGCGAACGGGUGAGUAAUACAUCGGAACGUGCCCGGUCGUGGGGGAUAACGUAGCGAAAGUUACGCUAAUACCGCAUGCGAUCUGAGGAUGAAAGCGGGGGACCUUCGGGCCUCGCCCGAUCGGAGCGGCCGAUGUCAGAUUAGGUAGUUGGUGGGGUAAAGGCCUACCAAGCCGACGAUCUGUAGCUGGUCUGAGAGGACGACCAGCCACACUGGGACUGAGACACGGCCCAGACUCCUACGGGAGGCAGCAGUGGGGAAUUUUGGACAAUGGGCGCAAGCCUGAUCCAGCCAUUCCGCGUGCAGGACGAAGGCCUUCGGGUUGUAAACUGCUUUUGUACGGAACGAAAAGGCUCUGGCUAAUACCUGGGGCUCAUGACGGUACCGUAAGAAUAAGCACCGGCUAACUACGUG